CACGUAGGCACCAAGCGUUGUCCGGAUUUAUUGGGCGUAAAGAGCGUGUAGGCGGCUUGGUAGGUCCGCUGUGAAAACUCGAGGCUCAACCUCGAGAUGUCGGCGGAAACCACUUGGCUAGAGUCCGGAAGAGGAGAGUGGAAUUCCUGGUGUAGCGGUGAAAUGCGCAGAUAUCAGGAAGAACACCUAUGGCGAAGGCAGCUCUCUGGGACGGUACUGACGCUGAGACGCGAAAGCGUGGGGAGCGAACAGG
rnacentral:rRNA from 1 species